GUUCUUCAACAAUACGUAGUUUGCGAAACAAUAACAUGUUUCUUUAUUAAGACAGAGAUAAAGAAGACAAAUACAAGGAAAGAAUCCGAGUCUGUAUUCAGGAUUAAAAGAACAUUGAAAGCAAGAAUUAUCCAAAACAAUAACAUAAUUCACUGUCGAAAAUAUUAGGAAUUUUCAAUAUAUUGAAAUUGUUUAGUGCCAAUUUGAAUCUAAAUAUGUGUUAUUAUGGAGAGGAAAAGAGACGAAUAAUAUGAAAAUGCGCAUUAUACGUAGUGGAAACUUUGAAAUAUUUCGUAUGUCAAUAAUUGACAAGAGUUGUGUUAACAGCGCCAGUAUUUUCUUGGUGGCCGAUGAUCGAACUAGCAGAAGGCUAUUCAGUUGCUGGUUACAAACCAGCUGUGUUAGCAGCUGGUAAGCAUUGCUCGAGUGAUGUAUGACAUUUUUCCA